rfam:Cryptococcus gattii R265 mitochondrial scaffold supercont2.28, whole genome shotgun sequence.
GAUAGUAAGUGUUUAAUCAUGACACCACCGGAUGGGUAUCUAAGUAUUUUAACACAUGCAAGUCAGAAAUGGCGAACAGGUCAGUAAUAAAUGAGUUGAUACCAUAUUAGAUAUGAUUCACUUGUUUCUCAGCAGAUAGUUGGUAGGGUAAUAGCUUACCAAGUCAAUGACGAGUAGGGAGAGUGAAAGCUUGAUUCCCGACACUGGAAAUGAAGAAGUCCAGAGCAUAGAUUAUGUGCAGCAGUGGAGAAUAUUGGUCAAUGCACGAAAGUGUGAACCAGUAACUUAGAGUUAAAAGUCAUUUUCUGAUAUCAGAAGAUUUACUUUUGAAUAAGUAUAAUAAAUGAUGAUUAUUAUAUUGAAUAGUCCAGUCUAAUCUCCGUGCCAGCAGUCGCGGUAAUACGGAAUCGGGCAACCCAUCGGAGUUUUGAAUAGGUGUACAGGGUACGUAGCUUGAUUAAAAAAUAAUCUAGAGUCAUAUGGAAGUAAAACCAACACUUAGAGGAGGGCUAAUAUUCUUUGAUACUAAGGGGUGUACUAAAGGCGUAAGCAUUUUACUAAAUAUUGACUGACUGUAAGGUACGAAAGCAAGAGCAUGGAACCGGAUUCGAUACCCGGAUACUUCUUGCUGUAAACGAUGCAAACUAUGAGAUCAGUGUAUUGGUUUUCGUUGCUAACGCUAAAGUUUGCCACCUGCAUAGUACAGUCGAAAGACCGAAACGUCAAUGAUUAGACCGUUCUUAGGCACAUGGAGUGAAGCAUGCCGUUUAAUCCGAUAGCCCGCGUAAAAUCUUACCACUUCUUGCAUCUUAGACAGGUGUUGCAUGGCUGUCGUCAGUUAGUGUUCGUGAGACCUAUGGUUGAUUCCGUAUAACUAACGCAAUCCUCACUAUGAAUUUAUAUGUUUUAUAGUCUAGAUUUUAUAAAAAUCUAGUUUAGGAGGACUAUGACAAGUCUUCAUGACCCUUAUGGAGUGGGCUACACGCGUGCCACUAGAAUAUUGACAGUAUGAUGCAAUUCUGAAAAGAGGAGCUAAUCAUCAACCUAUAUUAUUGUACGAAUUAAAGGCUGGAACUCGCCUUUAUGAAGUAGGAAUUCCGAGUAAUCGCGCAUCAGCACGGCGCGGUGAAGUAAACCUCUAAGCGGGUACUAAUUGCUCAUCACGGGGGGAGAGACACAACUCAUUGAAGAUGUUUUGAAUAUAUCAAUAUUCAAGUUUCGAGAUGAAGGGCGUUGAUUUCUCUGAAGUUGAAACAUAGUAGCCGUAAGGGAACUUGCGGCUGAAUGAUAAAAUCU